rnacentral:rRNA from 1 species
UACGUAGGGACCGAGCGUUGUCCGGAUUCAUUGGGCGUAAAGAGCUCGUAGGCGGCUGUUCAAGUCGAACGUGAAAACUCGGAGCUCAACUCCGAGCCUGCGUUCGAGACUGGAUGGCUAGAGUCUGGUAGGGGGAUCUGGAAUUCCUGGUGUAGCGGUGGAAUGCGCAGAUAUCAGGAGGAACACCGGUGGCGAAGGCGGUUCUCUGGGCAUGUCCUGACGCUGAGGAGCGAAAGUGUGGGGAGCGAACAGG